UUGUGUCUUCGAGUCGUUGAUUUCACACUGCCGAGAAAAGCCUCUAGAUAGAAAAUAGGUGCCCGUACCGCAAACCGACACAGGUAGUCAAGAUGAGAAUUCUAAGGUGAGCGAGCGAACUCUCGUUAAGGAACUCGGCAAAAUGACCCCGUAACUUCGGGAGAAGGGGUGCUCUUUAGGGUUAACGCCCAGAAGAGCCGCAGUGAAUAGGCCCAAGCGACUGUUUAUCAAAAACACAGGUCUCUGCUAAACCGUAAGGUGAUGUAUAGGGGCUGACGCCUGCCCGGUGCUGGAAGGUUAAGAGGAGUGGUUAGCUUCUGCGAAGCUACGAAUCGAAGCCCCAGUAAACGGCGGCCGUAACUAUAACGGUCCUAAGGUAGCGAAAUUCCUUGUCGGGUAAGUUCCGACCCGCACGAAAGGCGUAACGAUUUGGGCACUGUCUCAACGAGAGACUCGGUGAAAUCAUAGUACCUGUGAAGAUGCAGGUUACCCGCGACAGGACGGAAAGACCCCGUGGAGCUUUACUGUAGCCUGAUAUUGAAAUUCGGCACAGCUUGUACAGGAUAGGUAGGAGCCUUUGAAACGUGAGCGCUAGCUUACGUGGAGGCGCUGGUGGGAUACUACCCUAGCUGUGUUGGCUUUCUAACCCGCACCACUUAUCGUGGUGGGAGACAGUGUCAGGCGGGCAGUUUGACUGGGGCGGUCGCCUCCUAAAAGGUAACGGAGGCGCUCAAAGGUUCCCUCAGAAUGGUUGGAAAUCAUUCAUAGAGUGUAAAGGCAUAAGGGAGCUUGACUGCGAGACCUACAAGUCGAGCAGGGUCGAAAGACGGACUUAGUGAUCCGGUGGUUCCGCAUGGAAGGGCCAUCGCUCAACGGAUAAAAGCUACCCCGGGGAUAACAGGCUUAUCUCCCCCAAGAGUUCACAUCGACGGGGAGGUUUGGCACCUCGAUGUCGGCUCAUCGCAUCCUGGGGCUGUAGUCGGUCCCAAGGGUUGGGCUGUUCGCCCAUUAAAGCGGUACGCGAGCUGGGUUCAGAACGUCGUGAGACA
rnacentral:rRNA from 1 species